UGCCUCCUGACUUUAUAUUCUGGAUC
rnacentral:piRNA from 1 species